CAAGAUUAGCCAUGCAUGUCUAAGUAUAGCAAUUAUACCGUGAAACUGCGAAUGGCUCAUUAAAUCAGUUAUCGUUUAUUUGAUAGUACCUUACUACUUGGAUAACCGUGGUAAUUCUAGAGCUAAUACAUGCUGAAAACCCCAACUUCGGGAGGGGUGUAUUUAUUAGAUAAAAAACCAACGCCCUUCGGGGCUUCUUGGUGAUUCAUGAUAACUUCACGGAUCGCAUGGCCUUGCGCCGGCGACGGUUCAUUCAAAUUUCUGCCCUAUCAACUUUCGAUGGUAAGGUAUUGGCUUACCAUGGUUUCAACGGGUAACGGGGAAUUAGGGUUCGAUUCCGGAGAGGGAGCCUGAGAAACGGCUACCACAUCCAAGGAAGGCAGCAGGCGCGCAAAUUACCCAAUCCCGACACGGGGAGGUAGUGACAAUAAAUACUGAUACAGGGCUCUUUUGGGUCUUGUAAUUGGAAUGAGUACAAUUUAAACCUCUUAACGAGGAACAAUUGGAGGGCAAGUCUGGUGCCAGCAGCCGCGGUAAUUCCAGCUCCAAUAGCGUAUAUUAAAGUUGUUGCAGUUAAAAAGCUCGUAGUUGAAACUUGGGCCUGGCUGGCAGGUCCGCCUCACCGCGUGUACUUGUCCGGCCGGGCCUUUCCUUCUGGAGAACCUCAUGCCCUUCACUGGGUGUGUUGGGGAACCAGGACUUUUACUUUGAAAAAAUUAGAGUGUUCAAAGCAGGCCUUUGCUCGAAUACGUUAGCAUGGAAUAAUAGAAUAGGACGUGCGGUCCUAUUUUGUUGGUUUCUAGGACCGCCGUAAUGAUUAAUAGGGACAGUCGGGGGCAUCAGUAUUCAAUUGUCAGAGGUGAAAUUCUUGGAUUUAUUGAAGACUAACUACUGCGAAAGCAUUUGCCAAGGAUGUUUUCAUUAAUCAGUGAACGAAAGUUAGGGGAUCGAAGACGAUCAGAUACCGUCGUAGUCUUAACCGUAAACUAUGCCGACUAGGGAUCGGGCGAUGUUCUUUUUCUGACUCGCUCGGCACCUUACGAGAAAUCAAAGUUUUUGGGUUCUGGGGGGAGUAUGGUCGCAAGCUGAACU
rnacentral:rRNA from 1 species